CAAACUUAACAACCAGUUCGUGAGGAAACAAGAAAACACUUGCCGCAUUUAAACGCAGGGUAGCAUUAAAGCCAGACAAACACAACACAGUAAAACCACGUUUUUCCUUAUACCGGAACCCAUCAGUCACUCACCCACGCUCUCUCUCUUUCUAUCCAACUUGAAUUUCCCAAAAAUUACGAAAACACCCCAAUUCUCUCUCUCCGGCGGCGGAUUAGAAGAUCGCGUCGGAAAAUGAGUAACGAAGGAGAAUUGCUUCAAAUCGAGCCUGUUGAACUUCAAUUUCCCUUUGAACUGAAGAAGCAGAUCUCAUGCUCAAUGCAGUUAAUGAACAAGUCCGAUAAUUAUGUUGCUUUCAAGGUGAAGACGACGAAUCCAAAGAAGUAUUGUGUAAGGCCCAACACUGGAAUUGUCAUGCCUCACUCUGCUAGCGAAGUUAUAGUUACAAUGCAAGCGCAGAAAGAGGCACCACUAGACAUGCAAUGCAAGGAUAAAUUCCUGCUUCAAAGUGUUGUUGCAAGGCCUGGAGCUACUGCUAAGGACAUUACUCCCGAGAUGUUCAAUAAGGAGUCAGGAAAUUAUGUGGAGGACUGCAAGUUGAAAGUGGUUUAUGUUCCACCUCAAGUGUCAUCGCCUGUGAUGGAGGGGUCUGAGGAAGGUUCCUCUCCAAGGGCUUCAGAAUCCGAAAAUGGAGCGAUAAAUACAUCCGAGUUUAAUAAAAUUCCAAGGGUAUAUAAUGAGCAGCAAGACAGCUCGUCGGAGACCAAGGCCCUAAUUUCGAAGUUGACAGAGGAGAAAAAUUCUGUUAUGCAGCAAAAUAACAAGCUUCAGCAAGAAUUGGGAACAUUGACAAUUUACUUGAUCAUUCGUUUCUUUCCAAAGUUAAAGACUUGGAUACUGGAGAAAUUUGCUGAACUCAAACCAUAAUGAUAAGAAAUUUAAAAUACAGAACUGAUCAGAAAAGAAAUAUAAGGCAAAAAGAAAAGGAGGACACAAGCUGCAUUUACUGGUUGGUUGGGAAGGAGAGGUUGUGAGAUUGGCUCUCAAUAUUGGGGAUAAUUCAGUUGUAUUUGUUCAUUAGGGCAAUGAGGGAGGCUUGUUCUCUGGAAUAUGCCUCUUUCUGUUAAUGUUGUCAGAGUACUGUAAGUACCUAAGUAAUUCCAAAGGUCAGGCGAGUGCAUAGAAACUAUGUGUUGUCAGUUAAACACUUCUGCUAUCUGCUUUACAUUGAUGUCAUUUUUCUUGACUAGCCUCCCAUCUCUUAACUGACUUUUCCUUUUUGAAUUCAAAUGAGUUCUGUGGUGAUAUCCAUUUCUUCAAGAAUGGUUGUCAACUCCACAUGUGAUUUCAUUGAUUGAGGCGGUAGAAAGUGAUGCUUGCUAUAUGAAAGCACAAACUUAACUUUUUCUUACGGAGCUCUUGAGACGGGAACGUAGCAGAAGUCGUGGCGGCAUCCCAACUAUGUAUGUUCUCAUCAUUGCAAUGCUGGGAAUCCUUGUGGGCUAUCUUCUCAAAAAGACACAGUCUUUAGACAUUCUUGCUAAAUCUA